rnacentral:lncRNA from 10 species
GAAUUCUUAUGUUUUACCAGUACACUUUUCAAAAUAAAAUUAUUUAUUUGUACUAUAUCCCACCCUCUGUAGAAGAGCUUUCAAGAUAAUUUUAGAAUAUUGGUCAUUUAUGGAGAAGUCUGAAGAAUCCAUGUCAUACCUAAUAUAUUUUCCAUUCCCUGAGACCUACUUUAAUCAUUUUGUUAUCAUGUUCACUGUUAUAUUGACUUCAUCAUCACUAACAGCAGAGAAUAUAUUUGCUUUUUUCAUGCAACAUAAAAACUAGUUAUUAGGCCGGACGUGGUGGCUCAUGCCUGUAAUCCCAGCACUUCUGGAGGCUGAGGCAGGCAGAUCACCUGAAGUCAGGAGUUCGAGACCAGC